rnacentral:rRNA from 1 species
CACACCGCCCGUCACACCAUGGGAGUUGGUUCUACUUGAAGCCGGUGCGCUAACCCAACCGCAAGGAGGGAGGCGCCAACGGUCUGGUCGAUGAUUGGGGUG